GAAAUUUCUCAAUUUUUGCUUUUCAGCUAUCUAAAGUAAAUUGCCAGAUUUCUUAUGUGCUUCAGGAGAUUCCUCCCCAAAUGAAGCAGGGAUGGGACUCACUCCCGAGCCAUUUUCGCCCAGUAACACAGCUGUAUUUCCCUUGUUCCUGGACUCCCUGUGCUCAGCAUCUUCCUUCUGCCUCUGGAGACCCGUCCUUGUACCUCAGGACCUGGGUCACUCACCUCUUUGUCACCCAUUUCUGUGUCACCUACCUCUGCCACUCAGGAGGGUCCCCGCCACCUUGCUGCCGGAGCACUGAGCCACAGGCAAGCAGAGGUUUGUGAAGCCCAGAAAUAGUCCUAGGGAGAAGAGAAGAGAAGAGAACAGUGAGUGUUGGCUACCUGGCAAAGCUUCUGUACAAGUUGUCGCGGUGGAAAAUGCCUCGGAGGUCACAUUAACGUGUAGGCUCAUUGCUACGGACUGGCUCGCGUCCACCCCACCAAGCACUCUCUGAAGGGCACAAGCCAUGGUCACGCUUGGCAAAGGUCUUUCCUGAGCUCCCUGCAGAGCCCCACAGAACCUGGGUCAAUAAUGAUCACAUCCUGGACUUCUUUUUUUUUGUGCUAGUUUGAAAUUCUCCAGGUAAUGAAAGGCACUGCCAGAACUGCACGUCCACAGAAGGACGUUGACGGUGUCUUGUGUUCUGCAUCAUGGCGUGAAGGUCAGUGGGCAUGAGGUCUCCUGAGAUGUUUGGAGGACUGUCCAAGCCUGGUCCAGCUCAUGACAGGUUUUUCCGUCUGGGCAACCCUGGAAAAAGCAGCCUGUCAGUCGUGCCGAGGUUUCUUCUUGGGAGAAACCAGUUGGUUUGCUCCAGAGCAGAGACAGGAGGGAGCUCAUAUGCAUGCCGUGGAGACAGCCGGUAUUAAGGGACCUGGGAUGGCUCAGCUGAACAGCACGCAAAUAGAGUUUGGAACCAGAAAUGAACCCAGAUUUAAAGCAGCCGGCAGUGCUUGUGUACAGACUGAACUGAUUUAUCGUGCAUGUUAUGUGCUGAGUUGCAAAACCUUGCUAUAUUAGUGAUUUAACUGGAGGAACAAUUUGAUUUGUCAUUACCAAUAGGGAUGGAACUAAAUUAGUCUCCCACACACUCUACGCUGAUGAGGUCAUGCUUAGAUUUCCCUUUGUAGAUUCACAUUCGCAAUACUUUUAAUCACUGGUAAGAAACAUAACAUGAGUAAAACUAUUAUGAAACGCUGGAGUACUUUCAGAGGGGUUUAGAAACCCGAGAAAAUCGUAGAAGUCAAAAUCAAAGAUAAGCUUUAAUAUUCAGCCCUGUGUUGUACGUCUGAUUAAAUAUUAAUUCACAGCAGUAUGUUGGGUACUUACAGUCAAGUUCUCUUGACCCAUUUGAAAUGCACGGUCACGUAAAUGAACCUGGCAUUUGAAAAAGGACAGCCCUGCAGACUCUACUUAAAUCUUUUCUACAGUUCUUGCUUAAUUAGUGGCCUGACCCUGCCCUUAUAAGUUGUUGACUUGAUCAGUGGCGUGGAGUUAUGAAAACACUGCUGUAAGAUAGAUAAGCAAGCUUUGAAAAACACAGAGGCUCUCUGCAAAAUAUUUUGUUCACUUUCUUUUUCUUUCUUUUUUUUUUUUUUCCCCUUAAUCAAAGGACAAAAGGAUGGCAACCAAAUUCUAGUUUAUUCAAAGAAUUUGGCUUUUUACUGCCAGUAGCAGAGCUGCAGUACAUAUGGGAACAUGGGGAACUGGUCUGCUUUCUGCUAAAAAGAGGAAAAAAGAAAAAGCCACCGGGUGGAGCCGUUCCCUGAACUACUUAGUGGGAGAUGAUUUGGGAAAAGAAGCAGAUAGCUCACAGUCCAAACUCAAUGCUGAAUUACCCAAACCAUAGCAACCCUCUUUGCUGUUUGCCUGUUGUUGGGGAACUUGGUGGGAAGACAGUGCAGGCUAGAAGAGUUCUACUUCAUCUUCUGCUCUUCCCCUUCUCAGGGGGUACAUGACGUCCUUGACCAUGGCCAACACAUCCACAAACAUCAGUGAAUGUUGGCUACUCUCAGCCCCUGUUUUGACCAUCAAAUAAAUUCAGCACUGGGGUGAAGCCACCUAAUCCCCAUCCACAGCCAUUCCUUCAUUCCAAAGCCUGGUACUGACAUUUUUUUAAUAUUUUUUUUUUCUUGUGAGAAACUGUUAAUAGCAUUUUGUUUGGUAUCACUGCUUUGAUCUCCCAACUUAAAUACCACAUUAAUUCAGAGCUCCCAUGGGUGGAUGAGUUCACAUUAUUAGUUAACCUCUUCUCCUGGAAGUCUCAAAUAUGAUUUAGAAAUAAUUCUGUGCAUUGUGACGGAAACAAACAAACAAAUUAUCAUUAAUUACAAGUAUAAAUAAGAGGGAUUUCUAUCAUUAGAUGAAACAGAAUUCAGAUGCCAGCUCUUUGCAUUUCUUUUGCACUGCAAUAAAGCAAAUUUUCAAAUUCUGCAUGGUCUGCCUAACAAGUCUCCUUUCUGGUAAGAAACUAAAGGCAUUUUCUGGAAUGCCUGUGAGCAAUAAGCUAGCUGGAUCCAGGAAAUAGAUUUUGAUCCUUCUUUUGGGAAUAGAAACCGAGCCGCAAAAUUUGGGAACACCCAAAUUUCAUUACUCCUGUCAACUCGUGAAUGGUUUAUUACUAGUUUAAACUCCUUUAAGCCAUCCUUCAAGGUGUUUUUGAUCAUAUCCACAAAAGGACCAAGGUAAAGCUUUGUGAAGAGCCUCUCAGCUGCCACGUGCAGAUUGCUGACUUCUCACAAAGAACAUGCCUGUGGGGGCUCGACCAUCUACACCUUGGCAGUGCUGAGGAGCCUCUCUUCCCAACAACUGCUAGGUGUUCCUCAAGCACAAAAGGAGGAACAUGGUGACUUCACCACCCAGUGCCAGAAGGCGGCUUUUUGCUGGUGGUAGUGGUCAUUUCUGUGUAAUAUUAAAGAUUACACCUUUAUAUUUUUAAUCUAAUUACAUUUUAUGUUGUAAUUCCAAGUUCCUGUCUCUAACCAGUCAGCUGCAUGCUGCAGUCACCAAGGCCCAGACGUGGUUCCAUGCUCAUCCUUCUGCCCUGUGAAUCUCCAGCCUGGUCCUGCACAGGA
ensembl:lncRNA